GAUGAACGCUGGCGGCGUGCCUAAUACAUGCAAGUCGAGCGAACAGACGCGGAGCUUGCUCCUCUGACGUGAGCGGCGGACGGGUGAGUAACACGAGGAUAACCUACCUAUCAGACUGGGAUAACUUCGGAAAACCGGAGCUAAUACCGGAUAAUAUAUUGAACCGCAUGGUUCAAUAGUAAAAGACGGUGUUGCGGUCACUUAUAGAUGGAUCCGCGCCGCAUUAGCUAGUUGGUAAGGUAACGGCUUACCAAGGCAACGAUGCGUGGCCGACCUGAGAGGGUGAUCGGCCACACUGGAACUGAGACACGGUCCAGACGCCUACGGGAGGCAGCAGUAGGGAAUCUUCCGCAAUGGGCGAAAGCCUGACGGAGCAACGCCGCGUGAGUGAUGAAGGUCUUCGGAUCGUAAAACUCUGUUAUUAGGGAAGAACAAAUGUGUAAGUAACUAUGCACGUCUUGACGGUACCUAAUCAGAAAGCCACGGCUAACUACGUG
rnacentral:rRNA from 1 species